rnacentral:snRNA from 1 species
GGUAAGAGGACACUAUGUCUGUAACUCUUUAACUCCACUGAUCACUGCCGUUGAUUCAGCUGACUUGGUCAGUAAGCAGAUGUCCCCUCUGUCCCUCACCACACCACAUCCAUCUCUCUAACCUUGAGGUUUUUUUUGUUUUUUUAUGUCCUUUCCAGACAGAGAUGAGUCAUUCCACAAUCAAGGAUAAGAGUGUCUUGGCACUUAAAGAUGGCCAUGAAUUCUUUCCUUCUUCCAUUGAGAGAUGAGAUCUAAU